AAACCAACUUUUUAGUAGAUCACUACUUCUAGUCUACUUUUGGCUAAUAAUGAAGGUCUUACGAAUCAUGGCUGUUGUUGGCGUAUCUUUAUUGUUUGUUGCUAACGCAAAGCAAAGAUGGCACAAUUUGCAUAAAGGCCUACCAUAUCCCAUACUAGGACCGACCAUUUAAAGUGAAACCUCGCAAUAAAGUUCCUUUGUAAUGCUGUCUACGUCGAGAAUCUUUAAAAUCCAUCGUAAGAUAGAAAUCAGUAGCAGUGAAUAAGAUAGGGAAUAUCUGAAAGAAUUAAUCCUAUCUGAAUGCGAAUGCUAAAGAGGUAUCUUAACUAAUUAUUAAACCGAAUUGAACAUUCUAACUCAUUGACUAUCAUUUUAAGCUUGCCAAUUCUAGUCCAUCAAAGGUUUACUUUUCUAUAGGGAUUCUUAUCCGAAAUCGCUAUCAAUGGCUUUCAAUACUCUGGCGGUUCAUUCAUAGCCGAGUUGGCCGAUUUGUCAGUCAACCGCUCAUUCAAAAAUCGAGAUGUGUUAACAUGUAAAUUGAUAUCUCAAAAUUGUUCACUGCCUUAACGAUUGAGAACGAACUCAAGUUGAGUUGAAAUUUACGAUCGUCGGAAGGGGCAAAAGAAACAUGCAAAUAAACCUAUUUACAUACCAUAUAUCCGAUGAAUAAACCCGGUGGUAAUGAUGCCCCACAAAUGGAUUAACCGACGAUGCCCCGAUCAAUGGGUCUCUCGUGUGGUUUUAUGCCCUCCAAUGCCGGUUGGCAUCCAAGACAUUGUCUUUGUGGUCGGAUUGCCGGCAUUCGUGGCGUCGUCAACCUUACACUGCUGACUUCAUUGAUAAAACUUGUUAGAGCUGUCGCUUCCUCUUUGUAAGUGAUUUUUUCCCCCCAGUCUCGGUGGCUUCUUUUUUUUUUACCAAAGCAAAUCUGGCUGGCCGGAUCUGGUCGGCUGGUCUCUUGGCCACUUGGCCACUUGGUCUCUGCCUGGCCGGUGUCGAUGUCAUGUGACUGCCGUGGCCCAGUGGAUUGUCUGACUCCCUGGCGGAAGUUGUUGUGGGAAAUGGAUUUGUGUAGCAAAUACUCCGCGUCACUUCCCUAAAAUCUUCGCUUGUUGAAUUUGGCUAACAAAGGUGGUGCUUAAUUUAUGUAACUGAUUCAGGGAAUGUUUAUUUAUCUCUAAUUCAUAACAUCAUGCAUAUCAUAAUAAUAUUGAAAGAUACAUCUCGGUUAAGAUACUAUUUGCUUCUUUUUGGAAACAGAAAUAUGAUCAAAAAGUAUUUAAAUAUUUUUUUUGCAAUUAUUUUUAAUGCCCAUGCCCAAG